rnacentral:rRNA from 1 species
UCCGUAGGGGGCAAGCGUUGUCCGGAAUCAUUGGGCGUAAAGAGCGUGUAGGCGGCCCGAUAAGUCCGCUGUGAAAGUCCAGGGCUCAACCCUGGGAUGCCGGUCGAUACUGCCGGACUAGAGUUCGGAAGAGGCGAGUGGAAUUCCCGGUGUAGCGGUGAAAUGCGCAGAUAUCGGGAGGAACACCUAUGGCGAAGGCAGCUCGCUGGGACGUUACUGACGCUGAGACGCGAAAGCGUGGGGAGCAAACAGG